GACCAGCUCGGCGCAGGGGAAGCGCUCUGGGCUCACAACCCCGAGGUCGUAGGAUCGAAACUUACCCCUGCUAGUAU